GUCUUAACCGGGCGUUAAGUUGCAGGGUAUAGACCCGAAACCCGGUGAUCUAGCCAUGGGCAGGUUGAAGGUUGGGUAACACUAACUGGAGGACCGAACCGACUAAUGUUGAAAAAUUAGCGGAUGACCUGUGGCUGGGGGUGAAAGGCCAAUCAAACCGGGAGAUAGCUGGUUCUCCCCGAAAGCUAUUUAGGUAGCGCCUCGUGAAUUCAUCUCCGGGGGUAGAGCACUGUUUCGGCUAGGGGGCCAUCCCGGCUUACCAACCCGAUGCAAACUGCGAAUACCGGAGAAUGUUAUCACGGGAGACACACGGCGGGUGCUAACGUCCGUCGUGAAGAGGGAAACAACCCAGACCGCCAGCUAAGGUCCCAAAGUCAUGGUUAAGUGGGAAACGAUGUGGGAAGGCCCAGACAGCCAGGAUGUUGGCUUAGAAGCAGCCAUCAUUUAAAGAAAGCGUAAUAGCUCACUGGUCGAGUCGGCCUGCGCGGAAGAUGUAACGGGGCUAAACCAUGCACCGAAGCUGCGGCAGCGACGCUGAUGCGU
rnacentral:rRNA from 1 species